UGGGAACCUUCCCUAUGGUUCGGAAUAGCCCAGGGAAACUUGGGGUAAUACCGAAUAAGCCCUUCGGGGGAAAGAUUAUCGCCAAAGGAUCGGCCCGCGUCUGAUUAGCUAGUUGGUAGGGUAAUGGCCUACCAAGGCUACGAUCAGUAGCUGGUCUGAGAGGAUGAUCAGCCACAUUGGGACUGAGACACGGCCCAAACUCCUACGGGAGGCAG
rnacentral:rRNA from 1 species